AUACGGAGGGUGCUAGCGUUAUUCGGAAUUACUGGGCGUAAAGCGCGUGUAGGCGGAUGUGCAGGUCAGAUGUGAAAGCCCUUGGCUCAACUAAGGAAGUGCAUCUGAAACCGCAUGUCUUGAGUACGACAGAGGAGAGUGGAAUUCCCAGUGUAGAGGUGAAAUUCAUAGAUAUUGGGAAGAACACCAGUGGCGAAGGCGGCUCUCUGGGUCGAUACUGACGCUCAGACGCGAAAGCGUGGGUAGCAAACAGGAUUAGAAACCCUUGUAGUCC
rnacentral:rRNA from 1 species